CUGUGGGGUAGUGGCCGUGGCAUCGCGAGGCAUCAGGCGGGCUGCAGUGAGUAGUUGGAAUGAUCGGGAUUUGAGCUGGAGAGACAGGUUGCAUGACCAGGAUCUGGCACGGGUUGGAAGUACAGUCAGUCAGGGUAAAUUGCAUCACAUCUCUAAAUCCGCUGAGGGCUAAUCUAGGGUCAGUUUUGCCUUAUCUAGAACAGAAGUGAUCCUGAAACAGACAUCUGAAACUCUAGAUAUCCAUAUGGACCCAGAUCAGCAGGGGGAAGUGAGUAUUCUCACCAGAGAACAUUCAAUGCCAGUACGGCUUCACCACUCGCAGCCUCGGAGGGAGCCGCUAAUGACAAUUCACAGCCAACUGCCGUCUCUUGGGCUGCUGAAUCCCUGCGUUUAGUAGCAUCUAAAAUUCAUGACAGAUUUGUUAUAAUCCCAGGCAGAGCUACGCAGCAGCGCUCUCUAAACACAACUGACAGCGCACUAUACAAGACUCUUUAAAGACCUCAUCAACAGGCAGUGUGCUAAAUACGGCACACAAGAGUUUUUUUCUCCUCUCCCAACCUACAUAUAGCCAUGUUUUUAACCUGUUUGAGAAAAUGAGGAGACUUACGUAAUGUGGUGAGCGCACUCAAAUAUCUGCCAAUGCCACCUGGUGGACUCGAUUCAAGGAGGGAAAAUCUCGCAUUCCGAUUGGACGGCGACGCGUGUAGAAACAUCUGGUGCUGUAGAAGGGUAUUUUUGAGGACACGGGGACGACACGGCCAGAUGCCUGAAGGCGCUGCUGGAGACUUGGACAGGAGGACAAUUGCUCUGAUAACUGCCGCAGAGAGCUGGCUCUCGACUCUAUGAAUACACAGCGUACAUUUCCUUACAGAUUUACACAUAUUUCUGAUGACUGAUGUGCGUUUUUAGAUACAGUGUUAGAAGAAUAUGAUGAACAUGUACUAUUCUUGGGGCUAGAGAUUGGAAAACACCUAACGCAAUAAAACUUAAAGAUCAAUAUAUAUAUAUACACUUUUUUUUUUUUUUUGGAAAAUGUACUAGAAACAGCUGAUAAAAACAUGCACAAGCGAUCCACAAGACUCCAGUCCAUCAAUUAAUAUCUUGUGAAGUGGAAAAUCUGCAUGUUUGUAAGAAAAAAAUCCAUCAUUAAGGCGUUUUAACUUUAAAUCAUCGCUUCUGAGCAAAAUACCAAUACAUAAUAAUAAUAACGCUUCCUCUGUAAAAAGUCCAUCCCCUGUUGUCCUCUCAAAAUCCACAGACAUAUUUGUUUAGAUCUGUUUUGGACUAUUUUCGCUUGUAAACACUGCCUGAUCUGUGGAUAUUUCUCUCCAAAUUCAGAUUACUUUUUCAUUGGAAAAAGUGAAAUUAUGGAUAGAGGACUCAUAUAUUAGCCUUAAGCAACGAUUUAAAAAAAAAAAAAAAACUUCUUAAUGACGGAUUUGUUUCUUAGAA